rnacentral:rRNA from 1 species
GCUUGUCUCAAAGAUUAAGCCAUGCAUGUCUAAGUAUAGCUUUAUACUGUGAAACUGCGAAUGGCUCAUUAAAUCAGUUAUAGUUUAUUUGAUGGUGCUUCCUACUCGGAUAACCGUAGGAAAACUAGAGCUAAUACGUGCGUAUAACCCCGACUUCGGGAGGGGCGUAUUUAUUAGAUAAGAGGCCGACCGGGGUUCGCCCCGACCUUCGGUGAAUCAUGAUAACUUCACGAAUCGCAUGGCCCUGCGCCGGCGAUGUUUCAUUCAAAUUUCUGCCCUAUCAACUUUCGACGGUAGGGUAGUGGCCUACCGUGGUGGUAACGGGUGACGGAGGAUUAGGGUUCGAUUCCGGAGAGGGAGCCUGAGAAACGGCUACCACAUCCAAGGAAGGCAGCAGG